GAUGAACGCUGGCGGCGUGCCUAACACAUGCAAGUCGAACGGAAAGACCCUGCGUUUGUGGGGUGCUCGAGUGGCGAAGGCGUGAGUAACACGUGUGUAUCCUGCCCUUGUCUUUGGGAUAACAUCAGGAAACUGGGGCUAAUAUCGGAUAGGAGAUCCUGCUCCAUGGUGGGGGUUGGAAAGUUUCGGCUGUUGGGGAUGGACUCGCGGCUUAAGGGCUUGCUGGUGGGGUAGUGGCUUACCAAGUCUGUGACGGGUAGCCGGCAUGGGAGGGUGGACGGCCACAAUGGGACUAAGGGACGGAGCAGACUGCAACGGGAGGCAGUAGUGGGAAGUAUUACACAGUGGGCGGAAGCCUGAUACGAAGGCGCCGCGUUCGGAAAGACGGCCUUUGGGUUAUGAACCGCUUUCGCCUGUGACGAAGCGUUAGUGACGGUAAUGAAUAAAGAAGCACCGGCUAACUACGUG
rnacentral:rRNA from 1 species